CACUGAUCCAGCGCCCGGCGAGGAGGCCUGGCCAGCCACCCCCUCCCCCUGGGGGGAGCCCAAAUUUGCUCACAAAACCCUGGAACUGGAGGUUGGAGCCUGCAAAUAUCAAGUGGAGGUGAUUUGGGACACAAAGGAUGGAAUGGACACGGCUUUGAGCACGUGCCCAGGGCUGACGGGGCGCUGGGCAAGACAUGCAUGGUCUCUGCCAAGUCCCUUCCACGGAGGCCAAGCCGUGCCAGCAUGGGGCCCCCGGGCUGGCCUGUCUCCAAAGCUCCAGGGCACAGGCAGCCUCCCCAGAAGGCUCAGACGGACAUCCCAGGGGGCAGGAGGUAGAGCUCAUGAGGGGCUGGGCGCGUGUGGGUGCAGCCCUGAGCGGAGAGAGGAGUCCUGAGGAGGACCAACUCCUUGGACGAUCCCUGUGGCCUUCCAGACUGCUGCCCUGGAUAGGAGGAGCAGCGGGGGGAAAGGCAGGACGAACAGCCACCAGUUCCUUAAGAAUAUUCUAGCUCGGAAUUCUCCGCUCCGAGCCGGUCCGCACUGCUCCGAUCCCAGCUUUCUAUCCUUUGAAAACACUAAGAAUAAUGUCCCUACAUCAGUUUUUACUAGAGCCAAUCACCUGUCAUGCCUGGAACAGGGAUCGUACCCAGAUUGCUCUUAGCCCCAACAAUCAUGAAGUCCACAUCUAUAAGAAGAACGGGAGCCAGUGGGUGAAAGCUCAUGAGCUCAAGGAGCACAACGGACACAUUACAGGUAUCGACUGGGCUCCCAAGAGUGACUGCAUCGUCACUUGUGGGGCAGACCGCAAUGCCUACGUCUGGAGUCAGAAAGAUGGUGUCUGGAAGCCAACCCUGGUGAUCCUGAGAAUUAAUCGUGCAGCAACUUUUGUCAAGUGGUCCCCGCUAGAGAACAAAUUUGCUGUGGGAAGUGGAGCACGACUCAUUUCUGUUUGUUACUUUGAGUCUGAAAAUGACUGGUGGGUAAGCAAGCACAUUAAAAAGCCUAUUCGCUCCACGGUCCUCAGCUUGGAUUGGCAUCCCAACAACGUCUUGCUGGCCGCAGGAUCCUGCGAUUUCAAAUGCAGAGUGUUUUCUGCCUACAUUAAAGAAGUGGAUGAAAAGCCAGCCAGUACGCCCUGGGGCAGCAAGAUGCCUUUUGGUCAGCUGAUGUCAGAGUUUGGGGGGCAGUGGCACCGGUGGCUGGGUGCAUGGGGUCAGCUUCUCUGCCAGCGGCAGCCGCCUGGCCUGGGUCAGCCACGACAGCACCGUAUCCGUUGCUGACGCCUCAAAAAGCGUGCAGGUCUCAACUCUGAAAACAGAGUUCCUGCCCCUCCUGAGUGUGUCAUUUGUCUCAGAGAAUAGCGUUGUAGCUGCGGGCCAUGACUGCUGCCCAAUGCUCUUUAACUACAAUGACCGUGGCUGCUUGACCUUCGUCUCCAAACUAGACAUUCCAAAACAGAGCAUUCAGCGCAACAUGUCUGCCACGGAACGCUUCCGCAACAUGGACAAGAGGGCCACGACCGAGGACCGCAACACAGCCUUGGAGACGCUGCACCAGAAUAGCAUCACUCAGGUGUCUAUUUAUGAAGUGGACAAGCAAGAUUGUCGCAAAUUUUGCACUACUGGCAUCGAUGGAGCCAUGACAAUUUGGGAUUUCCAGACCUUAGAGUCUUCCAUCCAGGGCCUCCGGAUAAUGUGAAGCUGAGUGAGCCUCCCAGAUCCAGCGUGACAGACUGACACACGCGCUGACACGGCCCCGCCGUGUGCAUGGUGGUGAGGAGAGCCAGCCGCAAGGAGACGCUGAAGACACGUUUCUCGCAAAUACCGUGUGUGUGUGUUUGUUUGAAUAUAAUUGGUGACAGUGUUGGUUUUUUAAAAGCAGCAGUGAUAUGGGGUUAUUUUGUUUUUGUUUUUGCUAUUUCAUUCCAUUCUUGACCAAAGCUUCUCUUUAAGUAGUUUAUUAUGGAAAAUUGUCACACUAACUUAAAGGAGAGGGUGGGAGAUACGUCGUUUGUCGCCUCAACAGUUAAAUAAAAGUACUGAAUGUGAA